AGUGAACGCUGGCGGUAGGCCUAACACAUGCAAGUCGAACGGCAGCACAGUAAGAGCUUGCUCUUACGGGUGGCGAGUGGCGGACGGGUGAGGAAUACAUCGGAAUCUACUUUUUCGUGGGGGAUAACGUAGUGAAACUUACGCUAAUACCGCAUACGACCUACGGGUGAAAGAAGGGGAUCUUCGGACCUUGCGCGAUUGAAUGAGCCGAUGUCGGAUUAGCUAGUUGGCGGGGUAAAGGCCCACCAAGGCGACGAUCCGUAGCUGGUCUGAGAGGAUGAUCAGCCACACUGGAACUGAGACACGGUCCAGACUCCUACGGGAGGCAGCAGUGGGGAAUAUUGGACAAUGGGCGCAAGCCUGAUCCAGCCAUACCGCGUGGGUGAAGAAGGCCUUCGGGUUGUAAAGCCCUUUUGUUGGGAAAGAAAAGCAGCAGGUUAAUACCCCGCUGUUCUGACGGUACCCAAAGAAUAAGCACCGGCUAACUUCGUG
rnacentral:rRNA from 1 species